UUCACAGGCUGGACAGGGCCCCUGACAGCUGUCUGGCCGCAGUGUGGCCGUGCCCCGUGUCACUGUAUUGAUCCCACAUCCGUGUCUCAGCCAGUCCCAGCCGUAGUACACGCUCAGCGCAGCUUUAGCAAUGAGAUCUUCAAUGAGUGCUCUUCAUACAAUCUAGCAGAGAAGUGAUACAUAGAGGCACGAUUCUGCAGCAAGCGGGGUGAGUAACGUUACUGAGGAAAAAAGAAGAGCAUGGAAAGAGGGAAG